UAGACAACUGAUUAAGUCAUCAACAGCAACUCUGUAUACAGUCCAUAAACAGGGCAACUUACGGGGCACUGCGGGGCUUCUCAUCAAACCCAGUCUAUCUCUGGAGAAAAUCACAUUGUUGGUGACAGGUUUAGAGAUGAAAAAGAAUGAGAAAGAAGGACCAAAAAGGAAGCAAGAUCUCUUCGGCUUAGAAAGGAAAGUUUUCUCAUAGGCCUUCCAGGGGACAGUGAGAUGGCCCAGUGGGUAAGGGUUCUUGCCACACAAGCCUGGUGACACAAUUUCAACCCCUACAACCCACAGAAAGAUGGAAGGAGAAAGUGACCCCAAAGAGUUGUCGUCUGACCACCACAUAAGCCUCGUUGCAGGAGACAGCAUGCCUGUGAUGAUAAGGAAGGCACAGUUUCCCAGGAUCAGGUACCUGGCAUGGAGCAGAAAGCUGCAGAGGGCUCUGAGGUGUCUGAAGUGCAUUUGAAACACACUACCACGAGUGAAGGAGCACUUUCCUUUGAUGUGGUCGAGCACCUUACGUCAUCUACUGAGUCCUCCCUGAGUGGAGGUGAUGGAUGUUGAAAAGCAGAGGCCUUGGGGGACAUCGACACAGGGAAGAGCUUGCCUGGCUAUGAGAGGUUCACAAAGAUGGAGCUUACUCUGUGGGAAUGGAAUGAGCUGUGCCAGGCCUCUCAGAGCCCAGGAGGGCCAUUCCAUGUGGAGCUGAGACCAUGAAGACCUGGAACAGCCAAGAGCUCCUCUUAACUCCACCUACCUCCUCACACGGGGGUUUUGUACUCUCCUGAGGAUUAUCUAUCAAGGCUUACAAAGACAGGACAGAGUGGCGACUCUGUUGGUGUCUAGGCCCCUUCAGCUUCUCCGGGAUCUUGGGGGAUCAACUGCUUUGAUUUUUCUGGAAGGUCUACUGAUAUGGCAUACAGAAUUUUUCAAGCAGGUGACGCUGAACCUGGAGGGUGUCUCUGGCUCCAUAUCGGGACAUGCUCUUGAAAGUCAAAGACGUGCCAUGCACUUCAGAGCCAGGUUCUUGCUCAUGCUCCUUGUAUCUCCUCAUUUCCUCCAAAAGGAAGGAAAAGUCCAGAAACUCCCCCAGUAAGUGAAACUCUUUCGUUCCCUCCCUUUCUGUCAUUUGUAUAUCCAUCUCUCUAUUGAAGCCUACUUUUGUUUAUUUAAUUUAUUCUCUACCCGAGGCUGUCCACCAACCGACCUUGAGAUGCACAAACUGGGCAAACCACAAUCUUCCACAGACAGUGUCCUCUUGGUGUUUGUCCAUAGGCUUGCCUCUUCUUACCCCUGGUUGACAGCCAUCCCAAGGCUCCAUGGAUAGUUCUUGGAGAUGUGGACAGAUGUCACUGGUGUAGCACACACUGUCUCGCCAUGGGCCUGGGCUUCAGGAAACCCAAGCUGCCUGUGGAGCUGCUACAGAAGCGGGUGGAGUCCAUGCAGGACUUCAGACUGAGUUUGCUCAUGGCGCUGAGGAGGAGCUUGACCAGAGCAAGAGAGCCUCAGGAGGGGCUUUUGGUUUGUUUAUUCAGACUUCCACAUUUUCCGUCUACCCCUCUGACUAUGCAUCUGUGCAUUUUUUAUUCUUCAUGUAGCUUCAUCAGCUGCUGAUCUUCAGGUGUUGUGAGCUGGACAAACCAUGAUGGACGUGGCGGACAGGCUGUCCUCUCAGCAUUGCAUGGCUCCUUAAGGGGCAGCUAGAUCCGUGGUCUAUAUGCUGUCACCACAGCCUUCCCCUGUCACAGCUAGGCUGGUGGGCUGUGCCAACAGGAGACAGAAGAGACAUCGGUUGUUUCUUUACUCUGUAGCUGUGGUUAUCACUUGAGACACUUGGUAGGUCUCUCAUCUGCCUCGGAGAACGUGUAAAGCUGAACUCUAGACCUUUGGAUUGCAGUCAGGAGCAGAACUUUAAGAGACCCCUCCAACACACACACACACACACACACACACACACACACACACACCAUGAGGUACCAAGCAUCACAAACCCCAUACUGAGCAUAGUUGCACCAAGCAUGAGAAUUGUGCAUGCUACCCAGGUAGCUCCGGACUCUCAUGCACUCACUGAGAUUGUUAGCUCUGUCAACUCGACACAACCCAGAAUUUGCCGGAAGAGUCUCCGUGAGGUUGUGUACGUUAGGUUGGCCUGUGAGCAUUAUCUAUGGGGAAUUGUCUUAGUUAAACUUAUUGAUGUAAGAUCUAGCCCACUGUGGGUGGCAUCAUCCCCUUGACAGGGAAUGAACUGUGUAAGAGUAGGUAAAUUAAGCCCACUGUGGGUGGCAUCAUCCCCUUGACAGGGAAUGAACUGUGUAAGAGUAGGUAAAUUAAGCCCACUGUGGGUGGCAUCAUCCCCUUGACAGGGAAUGAAGUGUAUAAGAGUAAGCUGAGCACAAGCCAACAAGCAGGCAAGCCAUGCGUCCAUUCUCUCUGGCUGUGGAGUGACAGCUCUCUCAAGCUACUGCCACUGUGACUUCCCCACAGUGAUGGACUAUAACCUGGAAUUCUGACUGAAAGUAAACCCUCUACUCCCUAUACUGGUUGCUGUCAUAGUAUUUUAUUACAGGAACAGAAGUGAAACUAAAACAGCCACUCUACCAGGAAAACACUCCUCCCAGUCUCUUCCUGUAAGGGGCUCCUGGUGAAAGAACAACUUCUCCAGCCAGCAAGAAAAUAACCCCACUGUUCAGAGAAGAGGAGGGUUUUGCAGGGGGUGGGGGUUAAUGCACAAGGUCAUGUGCCCAGUGUGGUGAAGUCCAGACCUGCUCUGCCAGCUCCAUUCAUCCCCUUCCCAGAAGCACAGCCCCUCUGGCUCAUUCUCACAUGGUCGCUGAAUCAGCACAACAUAAAAUGCUGUUGGAUCAAUUAACUGCCUCUCUGUGGUAUGGUCCAUGGACAAGCAGCGGCCUGUAGUCACUCAGGCCAAAGUUACCUAACGGGCAACCAUUAAGUACAGAAUAGCCCAUCACCUCUCACCAUCCAGGACUCUCUCCAUCCAGAGCUCCCCUGUUCCCCUGUAAGACCUUAAUUCAUUUAAUUCUCCAGGUGGUAAAACUCUAACAAAUUAAUUUUCCUUAAUGUCUAAAUGGAUUAAAUGGGUCAAUAAAGCUUUAU